GAUGAACGCUGGCGGCGUGCCUAAUACAUGCAAGUCGAACGCACAGCGAAAGGUGCUUGCCCCUUUCAAGUGAGUGGCGAACGGGUGAGUAACACGCGGACAACCUGCCUCAAGGCUGGGGAUAACAUUUGGAAACAGAUGCUAAUACCGAAUAAAACUUAGUGUCGCAUGACACAAAGUUAAAAGGCGCUUCGGCGUCACCUAGAGAUGGAUCCGCGGUGCAUUAGUUAGUUGGUGGGGUAAAGGCCUACCAAGACAAUGAUGCAUAGCCGAGUUGAGAGACUGAUCGGCCACAUUGGGACUGAGACACGGCCCAAACUCCUACGGGAGGCUGCAGUAGGGAAUCUUCCACAAUGGGCGAAAGCCUGAUGGAGCAACGCCGCGUGUGUGAUGAAGGCGUUCGGGUCGUAAAGCACUGUUGUAUGGGAAGAACAGCUAGAAUAGGAAAUGAUUUUAGUUUGACGGUACCAUACCAGAAAGGGACGGCUAAAUACGUG
rnacentral:rRNA from 1 species